rnacentral:lncRNA from 1 species
UUGACACAAGAUUUUCGUUUCAAUACAAACUUACCAAUUGUGUCAUAACGAUUUUAAAAUAAAUUGGAAUUUUGAAUUCACUGUUCUUUCGAUUAUGAUCUUUAAAGAACCGAUUAUAAUCACAAACCUUUAAUCCCCUCCGGCCACAGUCGUUGUUACCAUACAAACUUUCAUCCCCUUACCGCCGCACUACCGUCGCAUUACACCGUGGGGUUUUUUUUUCGCCGGAGUAUUCUGUCGCGCCACACUUCUUUCAGCCACUGUCAGAUUUUCCCUCCGAGUUCUUUGACCCGUUCCGGUGCAACCACAGCCAUCGCCACACCCUCCGAGCAGGAUCGUCGUUGUGAAGUAGACUUAACAUUCUGUCCGAGUCUGUCUGAACAUUCACAAUCUAGCAGCCCGCGACCAUUGGUGCCGUUGCUUGGUUACGUUCGGUCGUUAGAAAGUUGAGUUGUUGGCCUCCGAUUGGUUCUGUUCGACUAGUAAGGUGUGAAACGUAUGAUUUAUGAGUGUUUGCAUAAGGUUUGAAGAGGACCCCAUUUGUGGAAUUUUGUUUUGCUUGCUUGGUUAAGGUACGGAUUCUCGUUUUUGACAUCGUAGUAUUUUUUUAUUUUUUUAUUUGUUGUCUUCGUCACUCUUUGGUACGUAUUCUUUCGUUCUCUCAUGUUGGUACAUUUUUAUUAUCAUGUCCGUUACUUUGUAGUACGGACUUUUCUGUUUCCGUUAGUUGUCCCAUGUUCGUAUCAUACAUCUGAUAAGUUGGUUUCAGCAUGCACUAUACCUUAGUAAUUGUUAUCAUUGUUGUAUGUUCUCUUUAGCUCUAAUUUUUGUACUCUGUCACCCGAGCAUGUUUGGUUUGGUUUGGUUUGGUUUGGUUUGGUUCGGUUUGGUUUGGUUUGUAGAGAUGGAACAAUGGGUGCACGCCGCACUCACCGUCUCAUAGGUGCAUGGAUUAGCUAGUUGUGUAUCUGUUUGGUUGUUUAGGCUCGUGGGUGCUUCCGUCUCACGUGACUUGGUUUGUUGUUAUCUGUAGUCACGUAGUCUGAUAUCUGUUUCUGAUCUGAUAUGUUUAUAAUAUUGUCUGGUAUGCUUUGUAUGUCCGAUUAUGUUCAGUAUUUGUUCAAGUAUCAGUUUUGGUUUUGUGUUCAAAAAAAAAUUCUUAUUUCUUCUUUAUGUCCUUUCUUCAUUUGUACUAUUUGAUUUUUCCGUUACUGGGCAACCUUUGGCUCAGCCGUAGUUUUCUUUGUUGUGUUUUCUUAUUUGUUGACAGGUAAUCCGGGAAACGUUGGGAACUAGGGAUGAUUGAGAGUAAUGCGGUUCGAGAAUAAAGACUUUUAUUUAUUUCAACUUUGUGAAUUAAUUAAUACUUAGGAUUCUUGGUUUGUUUUUGAAACCUUUGGUUAUCUUUUGGAUCCUAUUUUUUUUCCUU